rnacentral:rRNA from 1 species
CCUACGGGGGGCAGCAGUGAGGAAUAUUGGUCAAUGGACGAGAGUCUGAACCAGCAAAGUAGCGUGAAGGAUGACUGCCCUAUGGGUUGUAAACUUCUUUUAUAAAGGAAUAAAACGAGGCACGUGUGCCUUUUUGCAUGUACUUUAUGAAUAAGGAUCGGCUAACUCCGUGCCAGCAGCAGCGGUAAUACGGAGGAUCCGAGCGUUAUCCGGAUUUAUUGGGUUUAAAGGGAGCGUAGAUGGGUUGUUAAGUCAGUUGUGAAAGUUUGCGGCUCAACCGUAAAAUUGCAAUUGAUACUGGCAGUCGUGAGUACAGUUGAGGUAGGCGGAAUUCGUGGUGUAGCGGUGAAAUGCUUAGAUAUCACGAAGAACACCGAUUGCGAAGGCAGCUUACUAAACUGUGACUGACAUUGAUGCUCGAAAGUGUGGGUAUCAAACAGGAUUAGAUACCCUUGUAGUC